GACGAACGCUGGCGGCGUGCCUAAUACAUGCAAGUAGAACGAGUUGCGAACGGGUGAGUAACGCGUAGGUAACUGCCUCAUAGGGGGGGGUAAAUAUUGGGAACGAUAGCUAAUAACGCAUAGUGUGGGAUGGACCUGCUUUGUAUUAGGUAGGUGGUGAGGUAAAGGCUGACGAAGGAGACGAUACAUAGCCGACCUGAGAGGGUGAUCGGCCACAACGGGACUGAGGCACGGCCCAGACGCCUUCGGGAGGCAGCAGUAGGGAAACUUCGGCAAUGGGCGGAAGUCUGACCGAGCAAAGCCGCGUUAGUGAAGAAGGUCUUCGGAUCGUAAAGCUCUGUUGUUAGAGAAGCGGUACCUAACCAGAAAGGGACGGCUAACUCCGUGCCAGCAGCCGCGGUAAUUC
rnacentral:rRNA from 1 species